rnacentral:siRNA from 1 species
UGGGUUGCCUGAAUUUUCA